AACGUACGCUGGCGGCACGCCUAACACAUGCAAGUCGAAACGAAGUAGCAAUACUUAGUGGCAGACGGGUGAGUAACAUGUAGGUAUCUGCCCUUUGGCCUGGAAUAACACGAGGAAACUUGUGCUAAUACCGGAUAAGUCUUUACGGAGAAAGCUUUAUGCACCAUUGGAUGAGCCUGCACUUGAUUAGUUUGUUGGUGGGGUAAUGGCCUACCAAGACUGUGAUCAAUAGCUGAUUUGAGAGGAUGAUCAGCCACAUUGGGACUGAGACACGGCCCAAACUCCUACGGGAGGCAGCAGUGGGGAAUCUUGCACAAUGGAGGAAACUCUGAUGCAGCGAUGCCGCGUGAGUGAAGAAGGCCCUUGGGUUGUAAAGCUCUUUCGUCGGGGAAGAAAAUGACUGUACCCGAAUAAGAAGGUCCGGCUAACUUCGUGCCAGCAGCCGCGGUAAUACGAAGGGACCUAGCGUAGUUCGGAAUUACUGGGCUUAAAGAGUUCGUAGGUGGUUGAAAAAGUUAGUGGUGAAAUCCCAGAGCUUAACUCUGGAACUGCCAUUAAAACUUUUCAGCUAGAGUAUGAUAGAGGAAAGCAGAAUUUCUAGUGUAGAGGUGAAAUUCGUAGAUAUUAGAAAGAAUACCAAUUGCGAAGGCAGCUUUCUGGAUCAUUACUGACACUGAGGAACGAAAGCAUGGGUAGCGAAGAGGAUUAGAUACCCUCGUAGUCCAUGCCGUAAACGAUGUGUGUUAGACGUUGGAAAUUUAUUUUCAGUGUCGCAGGGAAACCGAUAAACACACCGCCUGGGGAGUACGACCGCAAGGUUAAAACUCAAAUGAAUUGACGGGGACCCGCACAAGUAGUGGAGCAUGUGGUUUAAUUCGAAGAUACGCGCAGAACCUUACCAACACUUGACAUGUUCGUCGCGACUCUAAGAGAUUAGAGUUUUCGGUUCGGCCGGACGAAACACAGGUGCUGCAUGGCUGUCGUCAGCUCGUGUCGUGAGAUGUUGGGUUAAGUCCCGCAACGAGCGCAACCCUCACUUUUAGUUGCCAUCAUUAAGUUGGGCACUCUGAAAGAACUGCCAGUGAUAAGCUGGAGGAAGGUGGGGAUGACGUCAAGUCCUCAUGGCCCUUACGUGUUGGGCUACACACGUGCUACAAUGGUAUCUACAACAGGAAGCAAGACUGCGAAGUUAAGCAAAUCCCUAAAAGAUACCUCAGUUCGGAUUGCACUCUGCAACUCGAGUGCAUGAAGCUGGAAUUACUAGUAAUCGUGGAUCAGCGUGCCACGGUGAAUGCGUUCCCGGGUCU
rnacentral:rRNA from 1 species